rnacentral:rRNA from 1 species
AUAUCAAUAAGCGGAGGAAAAGAAACCAACAGGGAUUCCCUUAGUAACGGCGAGUGAAGAGGGAAAAGCUCAAUUUUGAAAUCUCACUGCUUCGCAGUGCGAAUUGUAGUUUCAAGAAGCGUUUUUGGAGACAGUCUGGGCCCAAGUCCGUUGGAACGCGGCACCAUAGAGGGUGAGAGUCCCGUUGGGUCCGGUAUCUGUUUCUGUGUAAUACGUUUUCGAAGAGUCGCAUAGUUUGGGAAUGCUGUGCAAAAUGGGUGGUAAAUACCAUCUAAAGCUAAAUACAGGCGAGAGACCGAUAGCGCACAAGUA